UGCUCUUCUUCUUCUUCUUCAUCUGCAGACUUUGCGAAGUUUAGAUUUUACAUUUCUACAUUUUUGGAACUUCUACCCUGAAACUUUCCCCACCAACUCUUCGGUAUCCCUCCUGCUGCUGACUCUAGAACUUAUCUCUCUCCUGUCAUUCAGAUCAACAUGAAGAUCUCUAUCUUUGCUGGUGUUCUGCUGAUCUCUGCUGCCGUGAUCUCUGCUGAUCUGAUGUUCCUGGGACCAGAACCUGCAGAUG